rnacentral:rRNA from 1 species
GAUGAACGCUGGCGGCGUGCCUAAUACAUGCCAGUCGAGCGAACAGACGAGGAGCUUGCUCCUCUGACGUUAGCGGCGGACGGGUGAGUAACACGUGAAUAACCUACCUAUAAGACUGGGAUAACUUCGGGAAACCGGAGCUAAUACCGGAUAAUAUAUUGAACCGCAUGGUUCAAUAGUGAAAGACGGUUUUGCUGUCACUUAUAGAUGGAUCCGCGCCGCAUUAGCUAGUUGGUAAGGUAACGGCUUACCAAGGCAACGAUGCGUAGCCGACCUGAGAGGGUGAUCGGCCACACUGGAACUGAGACACGGUCCAGACUCCUACGGGAGGCAGCAGUAGGGAAUCUUCCGCAAUGGGCGAAAGCCUGACGGAGCAACGCCGCGUGAGUGAUGAAGGUCUUCGGAUCGUAAAACUCUGUUAUUAGGGAAGAACAAAUGUGUAAGUAACUAUGCACGUCUUGACGGUACCUAAUCAGAAAGCCACGGCUAACUACGUG